UACGUAGGGGGCGAGCGUUGUCCGAAGUUACUGGGCGUAAAGCGCGCGUAGGCGGGGGGUUAAGUGAGAGGUGAAAGGCUGGGGCUCAACCCCAUGCAGUGCCUCUCAUACUGGCCUUCUUGAGGGCGGUAGGGAGAAGUGGAAUGGCUGGUGUAGCGGUGAAAUGCGUAGAUAUCAGUCGGAACACCGGUGGCGAAGGCGGCUUCUUGGGCCGUUCCUGACGCUGAGGCGCGAAAGCUGGGGGAGCGAACGAG
rnacentral:rRNA from 1 species